rnacentral:rRNA from 1 species
UACGUAGGGUGCAAGCGUUAAUCGGAAUUACUGGGCGUAAAGCGUGCGCAGGCGGUUGUGCAAGACAGAUGUGAAAUCCCCGGGCUUAACCUGGGAACUGCAUUUGUGACUGCACGGCUGGAGUGCGGCAGAGGGGGAUGGAAUUCCGCGUGUAGCAGUGAAAUGCGUAGAUAUGCGGAGGAACACCGAUGGCGAAGGCAAUCCCCUGGGCCUGCACUGACGCUCAUGCACGAAAGCGUGGGGAGCGAA